rnacentral:rRNA from 1 species
CCUACGGGUGGCAGCAGUGAGGAAUAUUGGUCAAUGGGCGAGAGCCUGAACCAGCCAAGUCGCGUGAGGGAAGACGGUCCUAUGGAUUGUAAACCUCUUUUGCCGGGGAGCAAAAAGCGGUACGCGUACCGCAUCGAGAGUACCCGGAGAAAAAGCAUCGGCUAACUCCGUGCCAGCAGCCGCGGUAAUACGGAGGAUGCGAUCGUUAUCCGGAUUUAUUUGGUUUAAAGGGUGCGCAGGCGGCGAGUUAAGUCAGCGGUAAAAUUUCGGGGCUCAACCCCGACAAGCCGUUGAAACUGGCGUGCUAGAGUGGGCGAGAAGGAUGCGGAAUGCGUGGUGUAGCGGUGAAAUGCAUAGAUAUCACGCAGAACUCCGAUUGCGAAGGCAGCAUACCGGCGCCCAACUGACGCUCAGGCACGAAAGCGUGGGUAUCGAACAGGAUUAGAUACCCUUGUAGUC